AAUUGUAAAUUGUUUGUACAUCUUAAAAUACUCAUAACUGCUUUAAAAUUAAAAUAUAAUAAAAAGCCCAUGAGGUUGUCUAGAUAAUAAUAUCAACCUUUAAAUUUUAUAAAAGGUCAAUUCACUCUAUUUUUUAAACUAACGGAGCUACACGUGUUUGUCUGAUCGUAAAAUGUACUAUGUUGAGCACUUUUAAGACGGAGACAACACAUGCGAGUAUCAUAUGUCCUCUUAAGACUUUGAAAUUCAAACCAAGUAUUAGUGAACUCAUGUAGUAUUAAUGGUUAGAUUUUCAAUUUUUUUCAGUGACCGUAGAUAGAAUAAAUGAAAAUAUCAAUAAUAUACAUUCUAAAAGGUAUUGUUACACAUCAGUAUUAUUAUCUAAAACAAGCUUAUGUAAUUUGGGAUUGGAUAGUAAAAUUACAAGCUGUAUGGAUGGAUCACAGUCAAAUAGUCAAUGGAAUAUUUGCAGAACGUGUGAAUUGUUGUUCCUUUUUUCGAUGGUCAAAUGCAUCAAGUCACAAUGUCAAUCAUUAUACAUCACAUUAUAUCCUUUUUAUAAUAACUAUGCAAACCGGUUUAAUCGUACCACCUACCUGAAUAAUCAGGCAUUCAGUUGGGAAAUUUAAAAUUUUUUUUUAUAUAUAUCUAUUUUAAUGCGGUUAUUUUUCAUUCAAUGCUUACUAAGUAAUUUAAUUUCUUUUAACAUACAAAAAUAACCCACCCAUGUGAAUGCAUAGUUGAUAUAUCAUUAUAAACUAUUGUUACGAAAGCUAUGAAUUAACUAAUGUUAAUUCUGACAAUAAACACAGCUGGUAGAACAUGCGAUAUGUUGUAGUUAUAAAUUAGUAUACUAUAGUUAUUAUACUGUAAAAUCUCAACAAGUAAUGGAAAACAAUUACUUUAUAUCAAUUGUAUAUUCAUUAACUUUAUGUUUUAAGAAUAAUCAAAGAAUUAAAUUUAAAUUAAAUAAUAUUUUAAUAAUUACAUAUGCCUGGAUUUUGAGUUUAAGGGGCAUAUUUAUGAACAGAACCGUAGCAAGGUUUAUCAGCUCUCCUUUAACAUAUUAUUAACUUUUGCCCUAAUAAAUUUUUUUUAACCUCCAACUACAACAAUACACAUACAACAUUUCUGUUUUGUAUUUAUUAACUUAAGCCUGGAGGCACUCAAUUUCUUCCAAUAGUUCAGUAUGAUCAGUCUUCUUGUGAUAUUUGGAUAUUAGGUGUAAAUAUACAUAGUUAACUAAUUAAUUCUAUUUAAAUCAACAAGAACCACAUUAAUGUGUUAUGUGACCCAUCGGUGUGGAUUAAACGCAUGUUUUUAAAUAUGUUUACAUACUUUGUUAGAUGCAGUUUCUUUUUUUUCUUUAGCAGACUUGUUUUUACUUUUAUCAUACACACUUGGUGAAAACUGUAAAAAGACAUACACAGUCAACAUGUUAAGUUCAUUUUUUUUUUUUAGUAUCUUCAAACUUGGUCUUUAGCAAUCAUGAUUCCGAUUGAUUCUUAUCAAAGUGUUAUUGCUUAUAUACUUUUGACCGUUCAAAAUUUUCAAUUUUUUUGUUUUGAGAUUAUUAAUUUUUACGUGUAACUUUUUUUCCAAACGUUUCAAAUUAUUAACAGCAACCUAAACAUCAUUUUGCAAAAGAACUGGUCAGUAGCACAAGAGUAUACUCUAUUUAUCUAUAACAUAGGUGUAAUCUGGUGAGGUAAGGUUUCCAUAUUUAACAAUAACUGAGAGGGCAAUAAGUGUUAUUUUACCUUAUAUAUUUUUAGUUUUGCCACUGUUUCCCCAUCCCCGUCCGAUAAUUUAUUGUCUAUGCUGAAGGGCUAGGAUAAACUUGAGUUCCAUCUAAAAUUAAACUGAAGUUAUAAUUUUUAGGAACAUUCUUGGGACAUAUUUCCAUAUAAGUGAAAUUGGAAAAAUAUAAACAUUUUAACUUAAAACAAUUAACGGUAAAUAUUUUUUGACAUAUAAACGAAAUAGACUGAAAUUGUGAAAUGUAAUAAAAUUAUAAACAAAAUAAAUAAAUUAAAAUUAAUUCAUAAAAUGAAAAACGAAUUCGUUAAUUUCACGUUAAUUAAAAAAGCAAUGUAGUAGUAGAAAGUUCAUAGAUAAGUUAAUGAAAAUCCAAAUGUAACUAGUUAAGUUAAAAAGUUAAUAUAAAAUAAACUUUUUAACUCGUUAAUGCCCAGCCUUGAUUAUAGGUAUUAUGUAUAUUUUGUUCUAAUUUUUGCUCCCCUGGCCUGGGCCAUUCUCGCUAAGCACUUGCUACGGCUCCGUUUAUGAAUACACACAAAUUGUAUGCAUUAUAUAAUUGUAUACAUAGUACCUACUUAUUACAACUCAUUGAGAUUAUUUAGAAAGUAACUGAAUAACUAAUACGUCAUGUUCAUAAUAUUAGAUUUAACAUUAGCAUUUUUUUUUUUACAGUUUCCAGUGUUUUAAAUCCGUGCAGUGACCAGUGUUUUCCAAAGCCAAACAGUUACCAGUGUUCACCAAAGCCGAACAGUUACCUGUGGUUUUCAAAAGGCAUUCAGCCAAUAUACAUUUUUAAUUUUUGUGUACGUUAAUAGAACUUUUAAAUUGUAUUUUUGUUUAAGACAUUUUUAUUUUUUAUUUUUUGUAUAAUAUAAAGGUUAUUGUUUGUCCA